rnacentral:misc_RNA from 1 species
AAUUGACAACUUCCGCUUCGUGUCGGCACGCGACAGUGAGUUUGUGCAAGUGGAAUACGAUGUAAAUUUGGCAAUGGCAACUUGUGGAUAAGUACCUAUUAGUGUAUCUCUUAGGAAAGUUUAUGUAUAUCUACAGUUGUGAUGCAGUAUAAACCAUUUUUAGCGGCGUUCGUGGCCGUGCUGGUGAUGUAUCUCGUCGAUACCAUCAGCCCCCAAGAUGACAGAGAAACAAAACAGCGAGAUGAAGAAUCCCGUAGGGUGAGAAGAGACAUCACCCCACCACCGCCCGCACCCUACACCACCCCACUAGUUACAGUGGCUGAUGUGAACACUACUUCAAACGGCACCAAUGGAACUGCAUCUAAUCUCACAACGACAACUACAACUACAACGACGACUACGGAGGCGGAGGCGGAGCUGCCACAGAAAGGAGCUGCGGAGGAGGAACACAGCAGCAGUCUCACCAUCUUCUUUGUGCUGCUCAUCGUCGCCAUCAGUAUCCUGCUGACACACAUGCUGAUCCAGACCAAGUUCUACUACCUGCCUGAAAGCAUCGCCAUUGUCCUUGUUGGUGCCUUGAUUGGUCUAAUCCUUAAACUUUUCCAUUUUGGUAAUUGGAAGAAUGAGGAGGCCUUCCGACCAAACAUCUUCUUCAUUGUACUUCUGCCACCUAUCAUCUUUGAGUCUGGCUACAAUUUACACAAGGGUAACUUCUUUCAGAAUAUCGGUUCCAUCCUGGUGUUUGCUGUGUUCGGGACAGCGAUAUCUGCUGUCAUUGUCGGCGGGGGGAUCUACCUGUUGGGACAGGCAGACGUGGCUUAUAAACUGGACAUUGUUGAGAGUUUUGCGUUCGGGUCGCUGAUCUCGGCCGUCGACCCGGUGGCGACCCUGGCUAUCUUCCAUGCACUGGAUGUGGACCCGAUUCUGUACAUGUUGGUGUUUGGCGAGAGCGUGCUCAACGAUGCCGUCUCCAUCGUGCUCACAACCACCAUCUUAGAGUUCUCUGCCCCUGGCAUGGUGAUCACCAGCGGCGCAGCUGCCUUCUUCCAGGCCGUCGGCAGAUUCUGUCUCAUGUUCUUCGCAUCGUCUGCCAUUGGGGCGGCAUGUGGUCUCGUCAGUGCCAUGUUACUCAAGUUUGUUGAUCUACACAAGACACCAUCCCUGGAGUUUGGGAUGAUGUUUAUUUUUUCCUAUUUGCCGUACGGGUUGGCCGAGGGCAUACAUCUAUCAGGUAUCAUGGCCAUCUUGUUCUGUGGGAUCGUCAUGUCACACUACACCCACAACAACCUGUCAGCCGUCACUCAGAUCACCGUGCAGCAGACCUUCCGCACCAUCGCCUUUAUAGCAGAGACGUGUGUCUUUGCAUAUCUUGGGUUAGCCAUUUUCAGUUUUAAAGUCAAUGUGAAGCCAGCCUUUGUGAUAUGGAGUAUAGUGUUGAUAUUGGUUGGAAGAGCUUUCAAUAUUUUUCCGCUGUCUUUCCUCGUUAACUUCUUCCGUGAGCACAAGAUCACACGCGGGAUGCAGUUCAUCAUGUGGUUCAGUGGUCUGCGGGGUGCCAUUGCCUUUGCCCUCAGCAUCCAUCUUGAGUUCGAGGAUGAGAAGCGCUACGUCCUUGUGACCACGACCCUGAUCAUUGUGUUGUUUACAAUCAUGUUCCUAGGGGGCGCCACCAUGCCGUUGAUGAAGCUACUGAAGGCAGAAAAGAGAGUGAAAAAGAAGCGUUCAAAUAGAGAAGUGUCCCUGAGCAAGACGAAGGAGAUGGGCGACACGGUGGACUCUGAGCACCUGUCAGAGCUGACAGAGGAGGAGUAUGAAAUCAACUAUGUCAAGCCACAUCUGAAAGGCUUCAUGAAACUGGACGUGAAGUAUCUCAUUCCAUUCUUUACAAGACGAUUCACGAAACAGGAGGUCCGGGAAGGACAGAACCGGAUGAAGACGCUGACCAAUCAGUGGUACCAGGAUGUCCGGGCAGCACCAUCCGACUCCGAGUCCGAGGAAGAGGAGGAUGUGGAACAAACCAAACUAAUGACCAACUGACCUCGGAAACUUGGGACCAGUUUGUCAUUGGACCACGAGAAUAGUAUUUUCAGUGAAACUGACUGAUGGAAAUGUCCUGUUGUGUUGUGGGACUACAUAGAGCGGGGAUCCUGGAGGAGUUCCCCGGGGGUAGACUGGUAGAGGGAGCAAUGGCUGCUUCAGUAUGGAACAUCAUAUCAAGGGUUUCUCUUUGCCUUACAAUGCAUUUCACAUGUGAUAAACACUGGGUCAUAUUGACUUGUGUAUUUCUAAUUCAUUUGGAUGUGUACUUUGUGAUUCUAUUGCUCCUCAUGUUUAUUCAAUAUUGUGAUAUACGACAUAUCAUGAUGUGCACUGUACGUGUUCCAUAUCUUCCCUCCACUCGCUGGUCAGGCAACAAGCUGAGUUUGUACCAUGCUUGUAUGGAUGUGCCCACCAAGACAUCCACAUCUAUCCACAUCAUUGGGGCAGAAAAGGAGUCAAGUAACCAUUCUAUUUACUGGCUGUGACUGUAAGAUGUAAUUCAAGCUUGACAAGACCUGUAAUUGAGACAUUUAACAUGAAACAGCCUUGAACACAUUGUACAUGCAAGUUCUGGUCAGUAAUUGUGUGAUCUGUUGAGGGAUGGGGCAACUGCAUAAUGUAUUGAUCUUAUAUUAGAAUUAAGACUAUGGGUUUGUCUGCACCAUACCCGUGCUUGUGGGUUUCACCGAAGUGGUAAAAGUCUGAGACCUGCAUCACUUCGGGCUUUCCUCCCACAUUAAAAGCGUUGAAUGCGCUAAACCCAAUUCACUUACUCUGCAUGAAUGUGCAUAUAUAUAUAUAUAUAUAUAUAUCUAUUUGUUGUGUUUCUCUUGUUUUCUGAGGGUCAUUGUUAAGUUAACCAGGCCCAGUGGUGGGUACAUAACAACGCAACGCACAUAUUUGAUUUCCUUUAAUGACCUGUACACUGCUUCAUUCCAGCUGUUCAUGUGAUACAUGACGACAUAAUCAGCAGCAUCGUCAUCAUCAUCAUCAUCAUCAUUUUGUACAAAUGUUCAUCAGUCAUCAUCACCUACUAUUUGUCCAUGUCUGUGUGAGAUGUGUUCUGUGUCACACAAUGUCCCCAUCAUGAUGGUAUGUAUUAAAGUUUUUGCAUUUAGGUAAAUGCAGGAAAGUGUU